rnacentral:lncRNA from 1 species
CUGAGCUUUGCACAGCCGCACUGAUCCGACUUCCUCUGCAGGCCCGUGGGAGUGGCCUGACCCAAUCUUCAUAAAGUACACGGUUCUCUGCCCCUCAUGUAUUUCAUGCUUAAAAUUCAUACACAUUUAUGUUUCUCCUAAUUAGAAAGAGUCUCUCGCCCCACCCCCACCUCCCGACCCCAAAUAAGUUACUUAUUCUCCCUGUGGCUCCUAGUCCCUGCUCUCUCACCCCGCAGCCUGGUCUGGUACAUGAAAUUAUUUAUCUAGAGAGCCGUGGAAUCCCUCGCCUACAGCCAGAGGAAUUGAGGUGACUGGGAUUGGCUUCUCUGAUAAUUAAAAAGCCGAGGGAAGAACACAAAGAUGGGCUCCAGGGUGCUGAGGUUGGACCACAGCGUCGCCGGGCUAUGACGUCACCGGGCUAUGACAUCACCAUGGAGAUUCGGACAGGUACUGUGGACGUCCGGACUGGUGUCGACAGGGAGGGAAAACCCAAGGUUCUGGUCCUUUUCUCUACUCUUCCUUUUGCCUGUAACUUUGGGUCAGGUCCUGGAAUUUGGGCCCCAAUUUCCUUGCACAAAGGCAGAACCAAAUAGACGAAGCUUCACAGAUGCCCCAGAAAUGACCAUUAUCCACAGACUGCAAAGACUCUCCAGUACCCAUAUGAAGACAACGUUUCAAAACAUCACCGUGGAGUCUAGGCCUGCCAUCUAUGGAUCCUGACCAGUGUUACAGAAACACAGAUUAGUGAACCUGUUAGUGUUAAGAGAUGUGGGAGGAUGUGGAGGCAAACCUGGUGAAGGAAGAAAUGAGACGGAGAACGAGGCACCCCAAGCUCCUACGACCCCUUAAAGAGUCCUGUUCCAGUGUCCACAGUGUAUGAUCUGACUUGCUCCGGGCGUACUGUGAGACAACACAAAGAACCUGAGGCCAGAGCAGUGGCUGCUUUGCUUGUCUUCAUGGAAAUCUCCCUGGGGGAUCGGGGGAUCGGACUCUCUCCUGCAGGCUCAUGGUCAG